GAUGAAGAACGUAGCGAAAUGCGAUAACUAAUGUGAAUUGCAGAAUUCAGUGAAUCAUCGAGUCUUUGAACGCACAUUGCGCCCCCUGGUAUUCCGGGGGGCGUGCCUGUCCGAGCGUCAUUGCUGCCCUCAAGCACGGCUUGUGUGUUGGGCUCCGUCCCCCCGGGGACGGGCCCGAAAGGCAGCGGCGGCACCGAGUCCGGUCCUCGAGCGUAUGGGGCUUUGUCACCCGCUCUGUAGGCCCGGCCGGCGCCAGCCGACAACCCAUCAUCCUUUUCAGGUUGACCUCGGAUCAGGUAGGGAUACCCGCUGAACUUAAGCAUAUCAAUAAGCGGAGGA
rnacentral:misc_RNA from 1 species